ensembl:lncRNA
AUGAACUUAAGGGCCAGCUCUCAUGGAGAGCUUCAGGCUCUGACUUCACUGAGGACCCCUGCUUCAGACAGUGGUACUUUUAAGUCUCUUUCUCACAGCAGCAACAACAUGAGCGGCCGAUUCGAAAGCAUUGAGGAGAUUAAAGGAGUUUCUAAACCCACGCACCCUCCUCGAAGACCUGUACGUGCAGUCCGACCUGUGAGUGCUCUGAGUGCCAGCGGCUCCUUCCUGCAGAUCAACCACCUGCAGGGAGAACUAGUGAGGAAGAGGAAGGAAUGUGAAGACCUAAAGAAGGAGAACAAGUAUCUUUCUAAUGAAAUUCACAUGGAAAGGAUCAUGAUGAGGACUGAGAGUGAGCUCACCAUGAGAACCCUGCGCAAUCUCAACCAGGAACUCCAGGCCCAAGUUAAAGAGUUGAAACAGAAGCUGCAUCUCAGCCAGCAGAGAGCGACACUGUGCUCCAGGGCAGCUGAAGAAGCGGAUAGAGGACGAGCAGAGGCGGACAAGAGCAGGGCACUAGCGGAGGCUCGGGCAAUAGACAGCAAGCAAGAAAAAGAUCUCACAGUAGCUGACAAAACACGGCUCAGUGAAGAACUACAUCUGCUGAAAAAAGAGCACAAUGAUGUCCAGCUACUUUCAGCACAAGCUGAAAAGAAUUAUUUUGAGACCAAGCUUAAACUAGACAGGGUGUCAGGAGAAAAGCAGGCUCUCCAUGAGGAGAACAGAAUGCUGGAGGAUGAGAGGAACACGUUACGACACAAACUGAAGGAGCUGACUGAGGAGAAUGUGAAGAUAAUGGAAAAGGAGGUGAACUCCAGACGCAGAGCUCUGGUUGCUGAAGAGCAGAGAGAAAGGGCAAAUAAAGCCCAGCAGGAAGCGGAGCAGGAAAGACAUUUAGCUGAGCGGGAGAGGGAUGAUCGCACCAGGGAGUGUCUCAGCUGGAGAGAGAAACACCAGGUUCUGGCAGAAGUCAUCAGAGCUCAGGAAGAACUUAAGUCUCUGAGACAGACCAAAGCAUGUCAAGUUAAUAUUAAGAGCUACUUCCUGUGUAUGACUGAAAGCGACCAGAAGGUUAAGAUCCUGAAAAAUCAAGAUGGCACACCAAGGAAUUUCACGGAAGGAGACCCUGUGUAUAUCUCCACGCCUGACCUCAACAGUGAGGAAUCAGAGAGGAGUUCAGGGAGGACAAUGUUUAGGGUGGCUGCACCUCGAGUUGGACGGGACACCGGCCCAGCCCACUUCAGCGAGCUGUCACCAAUGACAGACACCCAUGAAUCGGGAUUUUCAAGGAGAAACAGGAAAGUGGAAUAUUUCUGGAUCCCCACUGAUGAGGAAUAA